rfam:Bacillus alcalophilus ATCC 27647 = CGMCC 1.3604 strain AV1934 contig00062, whole genome shotgun sequence.
CUCUUAUCGAGAGAGGUGGAGGGACUGGCCCGAUGAAACCCGGCAACCGUAAAACGAAUCUUUUCGUUCAAAAGGUGCUAAAUCCUGCAAAGCCAAAUGCUUUGAAAGAUGAGAU